CCAGACUCCUACGGGAGGCAGCAGUGGGGAAUAUUGCACAAUGGGCGGAAGCCUGAUGCAGCAACGCCGCGUGCGGGAUGACGGCCUUCGGGUUGUAAACCGCUUUCGCCUGUGACGAAGCGUGAGUGACGGUAAUGGGUAAGGAAGCACCGGCUAACUACGUGCCAGCAGCCGCGGUGAUACGUAGGGUGCGAGCGUUGUCCGGAUUUAUUGGGCGUAAAGGGCUCGUAGGUGGUUGAUCGCGUCGGAAGUGUAAUCUUGGGGCUUAACCCUGAGCGUGCUUUCGAUACGGGUUGACUUGAGGAAGGUAGGGGAGAAUGGAAUUCCUGGUGGAGCGGUGGAAUGCGCAGAUAUCAGGAGGAACACCAGUGGCGAAGGCAGUUCUCUGGGCCUUUCCUGACGCUGAGGAGCGAAAGCGUGGGGAGCGAACAGGCUUAGAUACCCUGGUAGUCCACGCUGUAAACGGUGGGUACUAGGUGUGGGGUCCAUUCCACGGGUUCCGUGCCGUAGCUAACGCUUUAAGUACCCCGCCUGGGGAGUACGGCCGCAAGGCUAAAACUCAAAGGAAUUGACGGGGGCCCGCACAAG
rnacentral:rRNA from 1 species